rnacentral:lncRNA from 1 species
CCUGUAUGAGCUCAAGUGAGUGACCACAGGGCCACAUCGAAGCAGGGAGAGGCUGCAGGGCCCCUGUGAGCUUGAGGAACCCUUAGGACCCUCCUGCAGGAGUCCAGGGGGAGCUGGUGUGGGAUGACCUCAGCUGGGCCACUGACUUGGCUGGCACCUGUGGGGACAGGCGUCUUGAGCCAGGAGGGGGAGGGAGGGAGCCCCUGAAGGCAGGCCCAGGCAGAGUCGGUCUCCCAGUGGCCAGGCUGCCUGAAAUCUGUGCUUGUGGGCUGGCACCCCAGAGCCACCCUGCUCGCCCGCCCAUUAAGCCUCUGCUCGCCAGCAGAGGGAGUCGUUUCAUUGCUGGGAAUCUGAAGAGUCAGGUGGGAAUUUGGCUGUGCGCAGGCAGGCUCUGGGGUGCGCUGCAGGGCUGUGUCAGCAUGAAGAUCGCUGUCCUCCCGUGCUUAGCCCCCCGGGCACCCCCAGGGAGGGAAACCGAAUCACAGAUGGAGCUUCCUUUGCAUCCCGCCCCCUCCUCCUUUUACCGAUGGGGAAAUGGAGGCUUCUGGCGAUGCAGUGCCGCGUCCAGGCUCUGGGUGAGCUUGGACUUGCCUGCUCUAGGCCCAGUCCUCUGUCCUCCCCCCUCCCCCUCCCUUCAUGUGGAGGGCUCGGGGCCAGCAUUUGUUUGGCCACAGCGGCUGCUGGGGCCUGCGCCCUCCUAGCAGUCAAUGACCACUCGCAGUCACUCCGGCAGAGAAAAUACCCCAAAGCUUGGAUAGGCUCAGCGUGAUUUGAUUCUGCCCAUCCUGUACAUUCCUUUAGCCUGGAGUCCCGCUUAGAGCCCUUAGCGGAGUGGGGCUGGGGGCGAGGGGAGAACCAAGACUUGCGGACAUGUGUCUCAGGAUUCUCAUUGGGCCAGGUACUGGGAUGUGGCUUGGCAGCAGCCACGCAGGACCGGGUGUAUCGGGUGUAUUGGCCUGUGGUGGCCAUGGAGGACCGGGUGUAUUGGCCAGUGGUGGUCCCAUACUUGUGUAUUGGCCUUCUGUCAUGCAGGUAUGCAGGUGCUGUCCUGUCCUACCCUGCCACGAGCUCCUAGUAUCCUGUCCCAAGCCCAGAACUGACUCCCUCUGCCUCUGUGAAGGUCAAUCCUUAUGGUUAUUCUCAUCCAUCUUGCUACUUGCAGCUUUCCUUUGGCGUCCCAGUGUUCCCACUUAUGGCCAUGGUUCAUGGCCAUUUUCACCACCUUCUCUCCUUCCUUUUCAAGACUUGUUCGUUGUGGCCCCUUAUAGCCAGCCUCCGCCAGGGACAAGGGUCUGUAAAGGAGAGGGGAACAGGAAGAAGCUGGGUCCACUCUUCCAACCCCUCUCCUUCCCCCCAAACUAG